CUCACAUACUCAUCAUUCAAUCUCUCUCUCUCCCCCUCCCUCCUCCACUGUUUCCUUUCUCCUCAAUGAGUUCGCCGAGCGGCUGGUGCAUCACCGGAAAGAUGGUUCUGCUGGGUGUGCGAGACACCGCCAUGACAUUAGCCUGUGCCUUGUAUGUCAAGGACAAGUUAAUAGGCAAGUCUGGCAAGAAUGAAGGGUCUGCCCCGUCUGGUGGUCGGAAUAUUGGUGCGGCUCCAUGAUGACCCGGCCAGUACGCUCGCGGAACGUGGUGGCGAUUGAUUUGUUUUUUUUUUAUUUUCCUAAGUUUUCUGGAAGAAAGAGAGAGGCCAGAGUUAAUUAACUGGCUAAUUAAGCAAUUUAAAUAUGUAGUGCAAGUUAAUCACUAGUACUUAAUUAGUUUAACUUUGAAUUCACAAUGUAUUAUCAAGUUUCAUGGAAUCAUGUUGAUGAUACAGAUUAAAUUUAAUAACCAAACUUGUGGUUUCUUA